GACGAACGCUGGCGGCGUGCUUAACACAUGCAAGUCGAGCGGAAAGGCCCUUCGGGGUACUCGAGCGGCGAACGGGUGGGUAACACGUGAGUAAUCUGCCCUUGGCUUUGGGAUAACUACCGGAAACGGUGGCUAAUACCGGAUACGACAACCGUCUGCAUGGGCUGGUUGUGGAAAGUUUUUUCGGCCAGGGAUGUGCUCGCGGCCUAUCAGCUUGUUGGUGGGGUAAUGGCCUACCAAGGCUUCGACGGGUAGCCGGCCUGAGAGGGUGACCGGCCACACUGGGAAUGAGACACGGCCCAGACUCCUACGGGAGGCAGCAGUGGGGAAUAUUGGACAAUGGGCGGAAGCCUGAUCCAGCAACGCCGCGUGAGGGAUGACGGCCUUCGGGUUGUAAACCUCUUUCAGUACCGACGAAGCGCCGAUGAUGGUGGUGACGGUAGGUACAGAAGAAGCACCGGCCAACUACGUG
rnacentral:rRNA from 1 species